GUUUUCACGUGAAAACAGAGAACGACUCAAAAAGUGGAAAAGGGAAAAAGGGGCAAAGAGCCAGAGAACAAGGGUUGAAGAGAAGAAGAGCUCGAAGCUAAAGGAUUGCCGGAUUAACUCAGGUAACGAGCAGUGAUUGAGUAGGAGCUAGUGCUUGGAGUCUAGUGUAGUCUCCUUAGUGGGUCAUGCUCUGAUAGAUGUAACAUCGGGAUGGGAUGUUUUAAGUGUUUUAUUGUUGGUUGUGAACCAGUUUACAUGUAUUGUGUUACAUGUUUUGAUAUGAUUGAUUUGAUCUUUAUCCGCUGCGUAUUAUGCAAAAUGUUUUAUGUUUUGAAGAAAUAAACGAGCAUGACAGUUAUUAUGGUGAA